GCUUACGUGGGGCAGACAGACGGGGUAAUACGGGGUGUGGGGUGGUUAAUCGGAUGUACUGGGCGGAAAGCGUGCGUAGGCGGCGUUUUAAGUCGGAUGUGAAAUCCCUGAGCGUAACGUAGGAAUUGCAUUCGAUACUGGGAAGCUAGAGUAUGGGAGAGGAUGGUAGAAUUCCAGGUGUAGCGGUGAAAUGCGUAGAGAUCUGGAGGAAUACCGAUGGCGAAGGCAGCCAUCUGGCCUAAUACUGACGCUGAGGUACGAAAGCAUGGGGAGCAAACAGGAUUAGAUACCCCGGUAGUC
rnacentral:rRNA from 1 species